rnacentral:rRNA from 1 species
GACGAACGCGUGGCGGCGUGGAUUAGGCAUGCAAGUCGAACGGUAGGAUACCUUCGGGUAUCUGAGAGUGGCGAACGGGUGAGUAACACGUAGGUGAUCUACCCUCAAGAUUGGGACAACCCAGGGAAACUUGGGCUAAUACCGGAUGAAAGCAGCAGUGAUGUUGUUUGAAAGGUGGCGUAAGCUGCCGUUUGGGGAUGAGCCUGCGCUCUAUUAGUUAGUUGGCGGGGUAAAGGCCCACCAAGGCGAUGAUAGAUAGGCGGCCUUAACGGGUGGUCGCCCACACUGGGAUUGAGAUACGGCCCAGACUCCUACGGGAGGCAGCAGUCGAGAAUAGUCUACAAUGGCCGAAAGGCUGAUAGUGCGACGCCGCGUGAACGAAGAAGCCCUUCGGGGUGUAAAGUUCUUUUAUAUGUGAGCAGUGCUUUCUAUGUGAACAGCAUGGGGAGAGAGAUAUUAGCAUAUGAAUAAGCAACGGCUAACUCCGUG